rnacentral:rRNA from 1 species
AUACGAAGGGGGCUAGCGUUGCUCGGAAUUACUGGGCGUAAAGGGCGCGUAGGCGGACAGUUUAGUCAGAGGUGAAAGCCCAGGGCUCAACCUUGGAAUUGCCUUUGAUACUGGCUGUCUUGAGUACGGGAGAGGUGAGUGGAACUCCGAGUGUAGAGGUGAAAUUCGUAGAUAUUCGGAAGAACACCAGUGGCGAAGGCGACUCACUGGCCCGUUACUGACGCUGAGGCGCGAAAGCGUGGGGAGC